UUUCUAUCUCCUCUCUCUCUCUCUCUGUCUAGCGUCUUCUCUCUUAGGUGUCUGAUGCGUGAGGUGAAGGAAUGGGCUUCCAGUGAACUAUCUAACACGGAGCACUAUGGCUGCCGUCGCAUCAUCCAAUUGGACACUAGUGGUGGUUGAGGAGAUCCCCAUCCAUACUCUUAUUGCUUAUUAUUGAGGGAGAUAAAUCCAGGAUUGCAGUCUCCACUGGCUGUUCAUUUUCCUUCUUCCUCAAGGACUGACUCAGAGAAAAGUUCAGGAUGCAGACCAUCCAGACUAUAGAGACACAGUUUCCCUUGUUGCGAGAGAUCUUCCACCAUUCUCCUUUCAGACAUCAAGACAGAGACAGAAGAAAGAGCAGCCUUACAAGCCUCAUCAGAAAACAAAAACAACUACAGAAAGGGUCUGAUUCUGAGCGCCAGUCAUGUGUGGCUUUACCGGGUCAAGCUGAGCAUCCCUGGUUUGGCCGGUCAUCCAGCAUACCGGGAUGCGAAUCACCAAAUCGGGCUUAUGGCCGAGUGAGAGAAAGGAAUCGAGAAGGAGAGAGAGAAAAUGCAAAAGGGAUAGAUGAAGUGCCACCCCCCUUCAUGUCUUCCAUCGAAGCGUCACAGGUUACAUCAUCGCAACAGCUGCUCCCAACCACAGAGAGAGAGAGUGAGGGAUUACAGUGUGAGGGACAGAGAAAAUGGGAGGGAGAGAAUAAGCAGCAAAGGCAGAAAGAGCAAGCGCUUCACCCAGAGAACAUUCGCUCUCGGCAUGGCCUGAUCGCUAAAGGGGUCCGCUUGCUGAGGAACAUGGGUAACCAGGAAGCCAAGCAAAGGAAGGCAGGUACAUCCAGGGCAGAGUGCCUCACAGAUAGGCAUGGAUUAGAUUACAAAGAUGCAAAGGACUCCAGAAAGACUUUGUCUCAGGACAAAGUCAGGAAAUCAUCUGCUGAAUUGGCUGAGAAGUCCAAGAUCAAGAGCUCCAAGAGUUCUGUCUUUUCCAACAUCCAGAUCUGGAAGGGAUUGUCCCAGAAGGCAGAAUCCAGAAACAAUG
ensembl:lncRNA